UGGGGAAUAUUGCACAAUGGGCGCAAGCCUGAUGCAGCCAUGCCGCGUGUAUGAAGAAUGCCUUCGGGUUGUAAAGUACUUUCAGUCGGGAGGAAGGUGGUAAGGUUAAUAACCUUAUCAAUUGACGUUACCGACAGAAGAAGCACCGGCUAACUCCGUGCCAGCAGCCGCGGUAAUACGGAGGGUGCAAGCGUUAAUCGGAAUUACUGGGCGUAAAGCGCACGCAGGCGGUUGAUUGAGUCAGAUGUGAAAUCCCCGGGCUUAACCCGGGAAUUGCAUCUGAUAAUGGUCAGCUAGAGUCUUGUAGAGGGGGGUAGAAUUCCAUGUGUAGCGGUGAAAUGCGUAGAGAUGUGGAGAAAUACCGGUGGCGAUGGCGUCCCCCUAGACAAAGACUGACGCUCAGGUGCGAAAGCGUGGGGAGCAAACAGG
rnacentral:rRNA from 1 species